CCUACGGGUGGCAGCAGUGGGGAAUAUUGCACAAUGGGGGAAACCCUGAUGCAGCGACGCCGCGUGAAGGAAGAAGUAUUUCGGUAUGUAAACUUCUAUCAGCAGGGAAGAAAAUGACGGUACCUGUCUAAGAAGCCCCGGCUAACUACGUGCCAGCAGCCGCGGUAACACGGAGGGGGCAAGCGUUCUCCGGAUUUACUGGGUGUAAAGGGAGCGUAGGCGGUUUAGCAAGUCAGAAGUGAAAGCCCGGGGCUCAACUCCGGGACUGCUUUUGAAACUGUUGGACUGGAGUGCAGGAGAGGUAAGUGGAAUGCCUAGUGUAGCGGUGAAAUGCGUAGAUAUUAGGAGGAACACCAGUGGCGAAGGCGGCUUACUGGACUGUAAAUGACGCUGAGGCUCGAAAGCGUGGGGAGCAAACAGGAUUAGAUACCCCUGUAGUC
rnacentral:rRNA from 1 species